CUGUAGCACGUCGGUAGGCUGUGUGAAGGCCUACGUAGAUAUAAGUCGGAGUAAAAGGGUCUGGUGCCGGUGUUGCUUCGUUUAGGCAUGGGAGACACUGAAUUAAAAACCUUCACAUCCAUCAUGGACGCGUUACUUCGUAUUAGCUCCAACAUGAAGAGUAUGGAGCAGGAGCUGCGGUGCCCCGUGUGUGACGACACGGUCAAGCAGCCCAUCCUGCUGCCGUGCCAGCACAGUGUGUGUUUGCUGUGUGCGGCCGACGUCUUGGUACAAAGAGGCUAUCCUCCUCCUGACCUGCCCCCGGAGCCACAAUCGCCCGCCUCUACACCCAACAGUCGCUCCCCGCGACAGCCGCGCAGACCUGCGCCCAGGACACCGGACCACUUGGACCGCCUGCUUAGAACCGCUUGCAGCACUUAUCCGGGGCGAAGACGUAAGGACGCAGCCCCUGCCCCCAUGCUGUUCCCGUGUCCUUUCUGUCAGAAGGAUGUGGAGCUCGGCGAGAGGGGCCUGACAGACUGCCCCCGCAACCUCACUCUGGAGCGUAUUGUAGAAAGGUACAGACACACUUUGAGUCUCGGCAGCGUCGCCAUCAUGUGUGCUUUCUGUAAGCCUCCACAGUGUCUGGAGGCCACUAAGGGCUGUGCUGACUGCAAAGCCAACUUCUGCAAUGAAUGUUUCAAACUCUACCACCCUUGGGGGACCCCCCGAGCCCAGCACGAGCACAUUCUCCCCACCAACAACUUUCGCCCAAAGGUGCUAACGUGCACAGAGCAUGAGCAAGAGAGAUUGCAGUGGUACUGCUGCAGUUGCCAGAGGUUGCUGUGCUCGCUUUGUAAGCUGCGCCGCAUCCACCAGGGCCACAAAGUGCUGCCAGUAACACAAGCCUACCAGGCCCUCAAGGAUCAGCUGACCAAGGAAGUCAACUACAUCCUGGCCAAUCAGGAGAACAUACAGAAUCAGAUCACGCAGCUGGAGGCCGCCAUUAAACAGAUGGAGGCUAACAGCGCUGUAGCUCUCCAGCAGCUGACUCGCUGCAUGCAGGAAUUGGGUGCGUCCAUUGCCGAGCGUCAGGGGUCCUUGACCGUGGCCCUGGAGGGGUCCCGCAGCAGGAGGGAGGAGGCCCUGUCUGCUCAGGUGUCGGGGAGGCGAGACAUGCUGGAGCAAGCCGGUCUGAUGUCCUACACCCACGAGCUCCUCAAGGAGAACGACCAGCCGUGCUUUGUCCAGGCUGCUAGGGUGACUCACAACAGGUUGGUGAAGGCCAUCGCAAACCUGCAGUGUUUCUCCUUGUCUGCCGAUCCUUCAUUCAGACACUUUCACUUGGAUGCAACAAAAGAGACCAGGCUUAUUAGCGGCUUGGAAUUCAUUCGUGCUCCCUUGGCUCCAGUGAUUGACACGCAGAAGACGCUGGCCUACGACCAGCUCUUCCUGUGCUGGCGCCUCCCUCAGGACUCGGCUCCGGCUUGGCACUUCUCCGUGGAGUUCCAAAGGCGCACGGGAGCGGCCGGAGCCACGUGGGGCGGCACUCGAUCCCCCAAUGCUUCCACGGCGUGGAGACGUCUGGACGAAGUGCGAGGGACCAGCGCCGUGGUGGACCAGCUGCAGAUAGACAGUGUUUACGUGCUGAGGGUGAGGGGCUGCAACAAGGCUGGAUUUGGGGACUACAGCGAGGAGGUUUAUCUCCACACACCUCCAGCUCCUAUCUUGUCUUUCUCGCUGGACUCUCGCUGGGGUUUGCACUCUGACAGGCUGGCGCUGGGUAAAGGUCAAACGUACGCCCGCAGCGUGCCGGGCCUCUCCCUGCUGAAGGUGGCCGACCGCACGCUCACGUCUUGUCACUUGACCUCUGACCUCCUGGUGGCCGACCUGGCCGUCUCUCAAGGCAGACACUACUGGGCGUGCUCGGUGGAGCCUGGCUCCUUCCUGGUCAAGGUUGGAGUAGGUCAGGAGGUGAAGCUGCAAGAGUGGUUCCAUCAGCCGCAGGACAUGACCAGCCCACGGUACGACCCCGACAGCGGCCAUGACAGCGAGGCAGAGGACGGCCAGGACUCGCCUCCCUUCUGCUUCCUCACCAUCGGCAUGGGGAAGAUCCUUCUCCCCCGAGGACACCCGCACAGCCUGGGAGACAGCAAGAGCGUGGGAAGCCUACAUUCCCACAGCGGCGCCCACACCAAGCCGACACACCCUUACACCGCGCCGCUGCCGCCCAGACUGGGCGUGUGUUUGGACUGCGACGAGGGCCGCGUGGCUUUCUACGACGCCCACUCCUUACGUGUGCUGUGGGAGGGCCACGUGGAUUGCUCGGCUCCUGUGUGUCCCGCUUUCUGCUUCAUCGGCGGCGGCGCCCUCCAGUUGCAGGAUCUGGUAGCCAGUCGGAGCGUCGAGGAGGAGGAGCCGCCGCGGAGGGUAAACGUCAGAGCUAAGAUAAGUAAAUAAACUACACACUCAUCCGCAAGCAUUUGGACGCUUAUUUCGGAAUACUUUCCAUCAUAAAUACAAAUAUUGAAUUUUAUUUAUCUCCUAACAAAACAUUCAUACCGUAAAUGUUCUAAUUAUAGCUCAAGUGUUUCGAGGACGGGGUGUCACUCUUAUUCGCUUUCUUGCAGAUUUCUUCUCAAAAUAUUUUAUUAUUAUUAUUUGUAUAUUUUAUUUACUUGAAGUAUUUAAUUGUAUUUAUUUUAUUUACUUAAUUUACUAAUAAUGUUUAAUGUAUCUAAAAUAGGCAUUUUAGAGGUUUUCAUUGUUGUAGCCAUUAUUUGCCGCAUGUUGCCAUUUGCUUGAACAUUUUUAAACGUUAAUAAUAUCGAGUGCAUGAGAAAGUGCAAAAGAAACUUUCUUUGACAACCAGUGUAUUGCACAAGACAGCAGCAACAGAACCAGUGGUGUAAUGGCGGUAACUUUCACUAUAAACAACAGGACGGUGAGUGUAACACGCACGAGGCUGGGUAGCAACAUUUUAAAGUGCAUGCAGAGUAAAUCAAGCUGCUCGUCAUACUUCAAAUGCCGCGUUAAUUUAAAAGCUACUUCAAAAGGUUGCCUGCAGCCACAGCUGUUGAUGUUUUUUGACUCGCCACUAAUCACAGACCCUGGUGGUUAUUCGUAUUUGCAGACCAGGCACCCGGCGACUAUAGGAGGCAUUAAUUGGAGCAUUUACGGUCAUCUCCUCUGUGAACAUUGUGUCUGAAUGAAAUGUGUUACUAUGCAGCAGCAGCGUUGAACAAACAUUGCAUGCAGACAAGGUUUGCUAGAUGCAGAUUCCUACUGUAGUAAUAAUAAUAAUAAUAAUAAUAACAAUAAUGACUGUUGGCAUAUAAAAGCAGCACACGUGUAUGGUUUCUCUUAGUUUACAGCUCAUUUUAUUCCUAAUGUAACCAGGAAGAGAAGUAAUCACAUGUAAGAAAAGUGAUUGCCGUCACGUUUCCCCCCCGUCACUUAUUUUAGGUUUCUAUUUUGCGUCAGUGUUUUGAUUGUAAAACUAAAAAGGCGUUAUUGUUAUUACUGCACAUCCACUUGAAUGUUUUGUGUGCGUGUGGGAAAUGGUGUGUAAGGGCUGUUAAAUGCCGUGGCAUCAUCCCGACAGGCAUGACCUUAUAGCUCCAAAACACACCUGUCAGCAUGAUGGAGUGCGGUUUGAGAUCCCUGCAAACCACAACAACAAUCAUUAUAUUACAUAACAUCUCCGACACAUCAAUCAAACAUCAGCAUUAUUAUUGUUCUUUUUUGGUUUUUAUUGCUUGUAUCCAUGGUGCAGGGGUGCCUACUGGAGCGUCUGACAGGAGAUUGUCUAUAUUGUAAUAUUAAAAUGAUUGUAUUGAAGUAUUUUCUAGUGAAUGUGUGUGAAGUAGAAGUUUUUAUUUACAUGACAGCAGCAGUGGAAUGACUACAACUGUAGCAAAUAUCCUAAUAGACUUUGCUUCUUUUUUUUUUUUUUUUUUUUUUUUACGUCACGUCUUAAAGAAAUAAAAUAAUUAAUGAUAAUUUGCGACAUGUUGUAAUGGUGUGUGUGGGGUGGGGGGAACACCGCUGAACAGCUUUUUUCGUUGUUACCUGAUAUGUUUGUGCCCUAAAGCGAUGCUUAAAUGAAUGUUUUGCUGAGAAGCAGCUGGCGCUUGUGAACUUAUCAGGGUUGUCAACUUGACUGUUAACUUACAGGGGUGUGAAAAAGUGUUUGCCCCCUUCCUGAUUUCUUUUUUUAUCACACUUAAAUGUUUCACAUCAUCAAACAAAUGCAAAUAUUUGUCAAUGACAACACAACUAAACACAAAAUUUCAGUUUUUAAAUGAAACUUUUUAGUAUUAAUGGUGAAGAACAAAUCCAAACCUACAUGGGCCUGUGUGAAAAAGUCAUUGCCCAAACAAACUGUGGUUUAUCGCACCUGAGUUCAAUUUCUCAAGUUAUAAAGCCAUUUCUAAAGUUUUGGGACUCCAGCAAACCACAGUGAGAGCCAUUAUCCACCAAUGGUGAAAACAUGGAACUGUGGUGAACCUUCCCAGGAGUGGCCGGCUGACCAAAAUGACCCCAAGAGCGCAGCAACCACUCAUCCAAGAGGUCACAAAAGACCCCCCAAAGAAUUGCAGGCCUCACUUGCAUCAGUUAAGGUCAGCGUUCAUGACUCCACCAUAAGAAAGGCACUGGGCAAAAACGGUUCCAAGACCAAAACCACUGCUGAACAAAAAGAACAUUAACAUUGAUGAUCCCCAAGACCUUUGGGAAAAUACUCUGUGGUCUGACGAGACAAAAGUUGAACUUUUCGGAAGGUAUGUGUCCAAUUACAUCUGGCGUAAAAGUAAUGCUUCAUUUCAGAACAAGAACAUCAUACCAACAGUAAAAUAUGGUGGUGGUAGUGUGAUGGUCUGGGGCUGUUUUGCUGCUUCAGGACCUGGAAGACUUGCUGUGAUAAAUGGAACCAUGAAUUCUGCUGUCUACCAAAAAAUCCUGGAGGAGAAUGUCUGGCCAUCUGUUGGUGACCUCAAGCUGAAACCAACUUGGGUUCUGCAGCAGGACAAUGAUCCAAAACACACCAGCAAGUCCACCUCUGAAUGGCUGAAAACAAAAUGAAGACUUUGGAGUGGCCUAGUCAAAGUCCUGACCUGAAUCCUAUUGAGAUGCUGUGGCAUGACCUUGAAAGGCGCUUCAUGCUGGAAAACCCUCCAAUGUGGCUGAAUGACAACAAUUCUGCAAAGAUGAGUGGGCCAAAAUUCCUCCACAGCGCUGUAAGAGACUCAUUGCAAGUUAUCACAAACGCUUGAUUGCAGUUGUUGCUGCUAAGGGUGGCCCAACCACUUAUUAGGUUUAGGGGGCAACCACUUUUUCACACAGGACCAUGUAGGUUUGGAGUUUUUUCUCCCUUAAUAAUAAAAUAUUUCAUGUAAAAACUGCAUUUUGUGUUCAGUUGUGUUGUCAUUGACUAAUAUUUACAUUUGUUUGAUGAUCUGAUCAAUUAAGUGUGACCAAACAUGCAAAAAAAAUAAGAAAUGAGGAAGGGGCAAACACUUUUUCACACCACUGUGCAAGACAAGAAGGGAUUCUAAAAAGAGGAUGUUACAUAAGAAAGUCAAAAGUUUAGAAACACUUUGUCAUGCUAGUGAAUGACAAGGUGUCAAAAUAUAAAAAUAAUGUUGUAAUUUUAACAAUACAUUUUUUUCUACAAAAUUAUUUUAAUUGUAGGACGACUAUAUUCUUGUAAAAUUAAUACUAUAUUCUUGCAAAAUUAAAUUUUUGCAUUUUUUUUAUGGAAAAGUCAAAAAUUUCGACACAUUUCCCCAUGCUAUUGAAUGAGAAGGUGUCUCCAAACUUUUGACUGGUAGGCUACUGUACAUAUUUCAGAUUUUGACUUCAUUGUUGUAAUUCUAUCUAUAAAUUGGUGCAAACUAUUUGUUUGAUCAAAAUGGUGAGAUGAUCUCGUCAUCUCCUAGUUUUAUACAAUACAUAUUUGGGAGUGAGGAAAAAAAACGUAUAAUCAAAUAAUAAUGAAAUUGUAACAGAACAAUUUCUACAGAAGUAUUUUUCUUGUAAUAGAAGAAUAUAGAGGAUUGGCAUUUUAGGCAAUUUGGAACCCCAGAAUGAGAUUUGGAAGGUUUCACAGGCCUCCUGGUACAAAAAUGGGCUGUGGCAGCCGGGGGAACUGCAGGCUAUUUGGGGACCCCCAAGGGCUGACAAAUUUUGAACUUCUACAUCAGUAGCGCUAUGCAUAAUGCUGAUGAGCGGGUCCCCUGUGAACCCAACAGACUCUAAAAUCACCUCUCGUGGCAACCAGGGAACCCCCCCACCCCACACAAAUUUGUGACAGGGCUAGGCAAAAAUAAGUGAUGCCAAAAGUGGCAUUGUAGGCCAUUUUUAGCGGUUGUGUUAGGAAUGGAAUAUUUUCCACUCUGUUUUGAAUAAGUGCAGCAACAUGUUUGUGCUUAUCCAACAUCCUCACAAGACCUUUCACUUGGAACAACAGGCACCCUGUUGUUUUUAUCUGCGCACACACACAAAUAGUUUCUAGAUAAAAGUUGGUUGUGUUUCCCGGACCUCCUGCCCAAAAAAUGUCCAUGGCAGCAACCGGCCCGAAAUGGACUCCAUGGGAGGGUGGCGUUUUAUACCAUUUUUGAGAAAGGCGAAAAGACCAAAAAUCGACCCCUCUGGAAACUGUAGGUUUUUUGUUUUUGGGUCCUGUGAGCCAAUGGUUUGGAGGGCUUUCCGGACCUCAUUUCCUAAAAAAAGGACUGUGGCAGAUACCAGCCGAAAAUCAACACUCCACAUGGAGUUUUAGGCCAUUUGGGUUUGAAAUCUAAAUAGCUGAAAAGCAGCAUCUCGGACCCCUUAUGAAGAUUUAGUGUCAUUUUCCGCUUUUUGCUCCUCCAUUUUUGCCCUGCCUUCUCCUGGUUGUCCGACCACAUUUAAGCAGAUGCACCUGCACCUGCGAGAUGCUGGAUUAUUCUGCACUGUUUGCUACACGCAUGGAUGGACUUCUUUGGUUGUUAUUGUUGGCUGUUCUCCCGUAUGUUUAACAUCAUCUCUCCCCUUGAGGAAAGUCAACUGUGGCGUCUCCCAGAAGGUACAUCUGGUACACCAGGAAGGUACAUCUGGUACACCAAGAAGACUGUCACGUUCUCGGUGUGGUUUGGACCCCAAUAUGCAGAGACGAAGCCACGGAGUGCAAAAGCAGCCCGUGAGGCCCGUCCUGCUCUGACAGCUUAAUGAACGCCUGUCCACCACGCCACUCCACCGCCUGCACUUGGGAAGGGCGGGAGUGGAAGUAGUAGUAGGAGAGGACGAGGAGGCGGAAGGGAGGUAAAACAACGUGGAACACGAGGCACCGCAGCUCGAAAACCCCGAGGAGACGACAGGAAGGAGGGAGUGAAGCCUGUUUAUAUCUUUGGAGAGCAAAGGUGCCAAAUGCCGGCUGGAAGGAGCUGAAGAGUCACAUUUUUGGAAGGUGAAGUGCGUGUUUGCAGCGUGUGUGUGUGUUGUGUGUGUAUGUUGUGUGUGUGUGUGCUCAGCUGUGCAAGGUCUGCAGAAGGAAAGUGCUGAUGAUAGGAGCAAAACAAGGUGGAGGAGCUGCUGCAUGCGGGAAAUAAACAACACCUGCGAAAAACAAGUGCGGAUGCAUCCUUAAAAACCAGACUGCUGUAUGUACUGAUAAGUCACAUAAACGUCUUUUUUGGCCCAUUUUGCCUGAGGGAGGGAAAAAAGGCUGCGUCAUAUUUUGGCACACCUUGAUAAAUCCUCUUAGGCCACGCCCUCCCUCAUCACACACCACAGCAGGUAUGUUUAAAUCCACUCAGUACAGAAAUCCCUCCUUGUUCUCACAAACGUAUAGUUCCAGUUUUUAACAACAUUAGAGCCCUCUAGACAUGAAGUAACACCCCUACAGUCACCUUUGCACACAUAUUCCCACAUGUAGUACACAUAAAAACAGAAAAUAAGACUUGGGCGAACAGGAAGGGAUAUUGGGGGUUCAGAGUUGAGUUUUAGCUUAGGGUGGGUGUCCCAUGUUUUAAGAGGGAUUAUUGUGCCUGUUAGGAGAUCAUUCAAACCUGCAAUAAAAGCC